ensembl:snoRNA SNORA62 Small nucleolar RNA SNORA62/SNORA6 family
UUGGUACAUUAAAAAAAUAGGGUUGGAAAUGUGCUAAACUCAUAGCAGUAUUUUCACUAAUACCACUAGAGCUUGCCUCUAUAACUGAAGUUUGAUAGUAUUCCCUGCCACAUAC